ACUCCUACGGGAGGCAGCAGUAGGAAUAUUGGACAAUGGGCGCAAGCCUGAUCCAGCCAUGCCGCGUGAGUGAAGAAGGCCCUCGGGUUGUAAAGCUCUUUUGUUGGGGAAGAAAAGCCUUGGGUUAAUACCCCGGGUCCGUCGACGGUACCCGAAAGAAUCAAAGCAACCGGACUAACCGUUCAUGUGCCAGCAGCCGCGGUAAUACGAAGGGUGCAAGCGUUACUCGGAAUUACUGGGCGUAAAGCGUGCGUAGGUGGUUCGUUAAGUCUGAUGUGAAAGCCCUGGGCUCAACCUGGGAAUUGCAUUGGAUACUGGCGGGCUAGAGUGCGGUAGAGGGUAGUGGAAUUCCCGGUGUAGCAGUGAAAUGCGUAGAGAUCGGGAGGAACAUCUGUGGCGAAGGCGACUGCCUGGACCAGCACUGACACUGAGGCACGAAAAGCGUGGGGAGCAAACAGGAUUAGAUACCCUGGUAGGCUCU
rnacentral:rRNA from 1 species